GAACUGAAGAGUUUGAUCCUGGCUCAGAUUAAACGCUGGCGGCAUGCCUUACACAUGCAAGUCGAACGGCAGCACGGGGGCAACCCUGGUGGCGAGUGGCGAACGGGUGAGUAAAGCAUCGGAACGUGCCCUGGAGUGGGGGAUAACGUAGCGAAAGUUACGCUAAUACCGCAUAUUCUGUGAGCAGGAAAGCAGGGGAUCGCAAGACCUU
rnacentral:rRNA from 1 species